rnacentral:lncRNA from 1 species
GAAUCCGUGACAGGGCCUCCAGCUGGUUUGACAGGUACCGGCCAGCCUGUGUCAUCCAGACCGGAGAGGAACUGGACUUCGGGUUUAUUCAUUUGUAGGGAAAUGCACUUAUGCCAGAUGUCACCGCUUCCUUUUGGAGCAGAGGCUGCCUGCGUUCCUUCGUGUUCACUUCCAUAAUCGCUUCUCUGGCAGGACAAUGAAAACAAACUGACCAACAAACAAGACCCUGAAUAUCACCUGACCACAAAAUUUGAAGCAACUCCAACGAACAGAAAAGU